GGGACAUGGAGCACAGGCUAGGUGGGCGCGGAGGAGGCAAGGCCUCCAGGCUCCUGCAAACCCAGCCAGGCCAGGCGGGGUCGGGGGUGACAGGAGGUUGGAAAAGCUGGGAGGGGGCCCACAGGGCUGGGGCCAGGAUGUAGGGAGUUAAGUCUGGAAGUUUGCCGGAGUCGGACUCGCCCAGAAGCACCAUCGGUUGUGGCUCAUUCUCUCUCCUUCCUCCUGCAGGGCGUCCUGACAGCUUUUGGUGGCUCCCCUGCGCCCACGACGGCGGAGUCUCCUCCCCACGGUGCACAGAUGGCCCCGGGGCCCUGGCUGGCCUUCCUUGACCGCCGUGCUCCCUUCUUGUGUCAUCUCCCCCUCAGCCGGGCCCAGAGCCGUCCGGCCCCCUCCUCUCCUUGCUGGGUACCUCCUUCCGUGGCAGCGCUGCUGGCUUCUCUGCCGACGGCCUCGAGAGCUGGGAGUGGGCGAACCCAGGGCCAAGGAGGCUGGGCUUUGUUCCCUGUCCCCCCCUUCCACCCUCCCUGCCGGGUCGCUGGAGAGGGGACUGCGACAGCUUCUCACCUAGAGUGGACUGGCCUGGGCCCCGGGCGGGCUGGGAUGCUCUAACCAAGCCUUGUCCCCAGCCCCGGAGAGACCGGGCAGCGGUCAUUUUCAGGGCUGGACAGCCCCUGGCCUGAAGCCUCCAGGAGAGCUCAGGUCAGCCAGCUCAGGGCUGCCGGGAGAUCCGGAGACCCCGUGACGAGCUGACUUGUGUCCCCCAGUGGGUGUGUUAAAAUCCUAAUCGGCACGUCGAGCUGUGCCUGCUUAGAGGGAGGGCUUUGACAGGGGUGGGCAAGGUCAAACGAGGUCAUGAGUGUGGGCGUUUAUCCAGGCGCCGGUGUCCUCAGAAGGGGCGAUCAGGACACGCAGCCCUGAAAGAAGGGAGACCCUGACACAGGCUGCAACAUGGAAGGACCUCGACGUCACAUUCUGGGACAGAAACCAGCCACCAAAAAUGUCACAUACUAAUCCAGGGAGUUCCUGUCGUGGCUCAGCGGUAACGAACCUGACCGGGAUCCAUGAGGAUGCAGAUGCAGGAGUGGUGGCGCCCGUGGUACCCGUGUUUAACUCACGGCCGGGACUGCUGCCAGCACCGCUGACUCACAAUGACCGUGGCGCAAGUGCGAGCGGGAGCCUGAGCGCAGCUGGGCAGGCCUGCUCCUCCCUCGGCCUUGGCGCUGCCCCAGUGCCGACUCUGCCCUGGCGACUCCCCUGUUUGGAGACAGCGGCAUCAGGGAGGCUGUUUCUGGGGGUGAGUCCUUGGAGAGUCAGCAAACGGGCUGGAAGCAUUGAUGGUGGGGACAGGACAUGCUUAAGGGUCCUGACCCUGGCCCUGACCCAGC
rnacentral:lncRNA from 1 species